AUCUGAGCAAAACAAGAAGCCCGUGAAAACAAAAGACAGCGUAGAUGGAGAACCUAUGUUCACAACCUCCUCCUCCACCUGGCUUUCAGACUUUCAGUUGAUGGCAGAAUAUUCUUUCCCAGCAGCUUUUCCCAGCAGGACACUCUGGUGCCAUUCAGCUCUUUCAUCUUUCACUGCUUCAUGAAUACUGUCUUCAGUUGGGUAAUGAGUGAAUGGAAAUCAAUGAACUUUCAAAUGUGUUCACUCCAAGUUAUCUGACUAGUAUUACCAGAGGCUUCUCUGAAUUUGUCCUACCACACUGCCACACCUUAUUCCAGAUGAAUACACCAUGUGUGAACGUCAGAACACCUCCUUCCCUUUGUGUUUAUGUUUUUCCUCAUGGUAGGAGCCUAGGGGAAAUUCUUCACAAGUUAAAACAAGUCAUGGAACAAAAUAUGCCAGCAGUGAGAUCGUCAGAGCUUCAUUUUUUGUAGUCUCUUCCCUCCCUCUAUGGUUGGGUAACACAGAAAAGAGAUAUAGUGAAGAGAAAACGAUCCAUAUAUGACUAAAACUCUCAUGUCGUUUGAUUGUUCGUAACCUUUGAUGAGAGAAAUGGGGCAUCACAGGGCAGCAAUUUUUGAAUCAACAUAGCUCAAAUGGGCUAAUUUACAGAAUAUGUCUGAAAACUAGGAAUCAUGGUUCCUGUGGGAUUGAAAUUUGGCAAAGUUAUGGCUGCUUCAGUGCUUCCACAAUGUUAUACCAUUGUGGUCAAUCAUGGUCACAUAAUUGUAAUUCUGAAUGCUCCCUUCCAGCUUCUACAAAGAGUGUCAUUGGGAAACUAGUAGUAAAUUGGAAGUUGCUCCUUUCCUACUACUUUUUGUCCACCCAUGGUCAUUUUGUUUCUCUGCUUAAGGAAGAAAAUAUCUCUGAAGUGAUGAUCCAACACAUCAUAGGUUGUCUAGUAUUCUGUAAAGUGGGGUUUCCAACCUAGUGCUCUCUGAAUGACCUGGACCACAUCCCCAAGCUGGGGUGAUGGGAGCUGUGGUCCAAAAGAGUCCAUGCUUUAGACCAAUGGAAAGACUAGUAAUGGGAAUUUGUGAAGGUUCUCUGUAAUUAGUAGGUAACUUAACAUUAACUUAUGAAUAGGUGUUCUAUGAAAGUAUUUAUAUUUAAGUUGCUUUAUUCAUUUUAAUAUUGUACCUAUAUUCUGUUGUC